UUAUGCUUGCGCACAUGAACCGCUUCCAGUCCGCUCUCCGACGUCGCCGCUCGCCGCUCCGCACGGAUGCCGCCGGCUCGUCACGGACUCGCGCGUAACCGCUUCCCCGUUACGCAAAAGCUGUUCGAACCAUCAAGCCACGGCGCCCCGUGGCUUUUUU
rnacentral:ncRNA from 21 species